AACUUUAUAUCCAUAGGUCUCGACCAAAUCUUGUGCCAGCAGUCGCGGUAAGACAAGGGAGACGAGUGUUAUUCAUCUUUAACAGGUAUAUAGGGUACCUAGACGGUGUGCAAUGGCUUAAAUAAGUACCUGGUACACUUGAGUUUGAUAUGUGAGAGGAAUAUGUCGGAAUUGUUGGAGGAAAGAUGAAAUUUGUUAAUACCAAUAGGACUGAUAACGGCGAAGGCAAACCUCUAUGUACAUGUACUUGCUAUUUCUGUUUUUAUUAUAGCAAAAUAGCAAUGUACUAUAACUGACGUUGAGGGACGAAGGCUCAGAGAGUGAAGAGGAUUAGAUACCCCCGUAACCUGGGCAGACAAUGAUGAGUGCCAUAGGUUGGCUUUAAGGCGGAACUAUAAAUGAAAGUGGAAGC
rnacentral:rRNA from 1 species